CAGCCGCCGCGGGAAAACGUAGGGUGCAAGCGUUAAUCGGAAUUACUGGGCGUAAAGCGUGCGCAGGCGGUUUGUUAAGACAGAUGUGAAAUCCCCGGGCUCAACCUGGGAACUGCAUUUGUGACUGGCAAGCUAGAGUGUGGCAGAGGGGGGUGGAAUUCCGCGUGUAGCAGUGAAAUGCGUAGAUAUGCGGAGGAACACCGAUGGCGAAGGCAGCCCCCUGGGCCAACACUGACGCUCAUGCACGAAAGCGUGGGGAGCAAACAGGAUUAGAUACCCCUGUAGUCCCUGUCUCUUAUAC
rnacentral:rRNA from 1 species